GCACUAUACGAGCACCUUCCUUCACCUCCUUCGAGGCUUUGACGGCUGACUUUUUUGGCCUUUGAUGCUUUUAAAUACCCACUCCACCAUAACUGUAAAAAUAAACUCCUCUUUCAUCCUUUACUUGACAAAUUCCUGCAAAGCCUUCUCUUCCGAGCUGAAAGCACUUCAUCUCCAUCUACUUGGAAAAGAAUUAAGCCUUCUGUUUUCGUUUCUUGCUUAUCAAUCAACUGCUUCGUAGAAAUGGAAAACAUAUCAUAUAUCGAGCUAUUCAUUAUAUUGCUUGACAUUUUAUUGUGUGAAUUAUUUCGAUAUAAGGUCGGUUACUUGCAGAAAUUUUUCUCAAGAUUUUGUUUCUCUAUCCGAUCCAAACUUAGCUUUGGUAAGUCAAAGGUGUGCGAAGAGAACAAGAACCAAGAUUCUGAGUCGUCCAACCAGCAGGAUUACUUUAGCAGGAGAGAUGAUAGGAACCUCUGCAGAGAAGAGGUGGAGAUGGUGAUGGGGAAAUUAGGACUUUUUUGCAGCGCAGAAAGUGAGGAGCUUAAGGAGUCGAUGGUUUCUGAUGAGCUUUCCCAGCUGUUUGAUGAGAAGGAGCCAAGCUUAGAGGAAGUAAAAAAGGCUUUUGAUGUUUUCGAUGAGAAGAGAGAUGGUUUUAUUGAUGCUGAAGAGUUGCAGAGAGUCCUCCAAAAAUUGGGACUAAAGGAAGGAUUUACGCUGGAGAACUGCAGGAAAAUGAUCAGAGCUUGCGAUGAAAACAGAGACGGAAGAAUAGACUUCAAUGAAUUUGUCAAAUUCAUGGAGAACAUCUUUUCUUGAAUAUACUUUUGGAAACAUCAAAAGCACAACAUAUUUGAUAUUUUGCUUGUCUUUUCCUCUCCCUCUCAACUCUCUCAUUCCU
rnacentral:misc_RNA from 1 species